GAUGAAGAACGUAGCGAAAUGCGAUAAGUAAUGUGAAUUGCAGAAUUCAGUGAAUCAUCGAAUCUUUGAACGCACAUUGCGCCCCCUGGUAUUCCGGGGGGCAUGCCUGUUCGAGCGUCAUUUCAACCCUCAAGCUCUGCUUGGUAUUGAGUCCAUGUCAGCAAUGGCAGGCUCCAAAAUCAGUGGCGGCGCCGCUGGGUCCUGAACGUAGUAAUAUCUCUCGUUACAGGUGCUCGGCGUGCUUCUGCCAAAACCCCAAUUUUUCUAUGGUUGACCUCGGAUCAGGUAGGGAUACCCGCUGAACUUAAGCAUAUCAAUAAGCGGAGA
rnacentral:misc_RNA from 1 species